rnacentral:rRNA from 1 species
GACGAACGCUGGCGGCGUGCUUAACACAUGCAAGUCGAACGGAAAGGCCCUGCUUUUGUGGGGUGCUCGAGUGGCGAACGGGUGAGUAACACGUGAGUAACCUGCCCUUGACUUUGGGAUAACUUCAGGAAACUGGGGCUAAUACCGGAUAGGAGCUCCUGCUGCAUGGUGGGGGUUGGAAAGUUUCGGCGGUUGGGGAUGGACUCGCGGCUUAUCAGCUUGUUGGUGGGGUAGUGGCUUACCAAGGCUUUGACGGGUAGCCGGCCUGGGAGGGGGACCGGCCACAUUGGGACUGAGAGACGGCCCAGAAUCCUACGGGAGGCAGUAGUGGGGAAUAUGGCACAAUGGGCGGAAGCCUGAUGCAGCAACGCCGCGUUCGGGAUGACGGCCUUCGGGUUGUAAACCGCUUUCGCCUGUGACGAAGCGUGAGUGACGGUAAUGGGUAAAGAAGCACCGGCUAACUACGUG